rnacentral:tRNA from 1 species
GCAGUCGUGGCCGAGUGGUUAAGGCGUCUGACUCGAAAUCAGAUUCCCUCUGGGAUCCUACCGGCUGCG